GUGUACAGCAAGCACUUUAGCAGCAGAAGAGUCCUGUAGAUGGGGAGAGCUAGGAAUAUUAGAGUGUUGGGCAGGAGUCAGUCACGUUUGCCAAUUGCCCGUUUUAGAUCUGUCUGGGACGGUUUGCGGUGAGCUUAGAUGCAAGGGAUUGUUCUGUUUGAUUGGCCCUUGUUCUUGACCCUCAGGUUUUCGUGCAGACCCUGUGUCUGGGGCUCAAAGAGUUAGGACGUUUUAAAACGCUGCUUUAUUUGCUGCCUGACGUUCUGGACUAGAUUUUCCCCUUCCAUGGACAUCACUGGGACAUAUUUCACUGGAGACUAACACCUUGCUGUUUGCUGGAUCUUACUAAUCUAGUGGUCAGCUUUCAAAACUACAAGGAAAGGUGAACAACAUGCACAAUGAAAAUUCAGAUUCGCUUUGGACUGUGAGCAGAACACAGCACAAAGCUCUGCUGCUGACGUGUCUUCAAGCUGUAUAUCUCUGCAUAUAUAUUUCCAAGGUUCAAGCUCAAUCAUUCAUCCCACAACCGAAGCUUUCACGUCUGGUGUUAUCCUUCUCUUUCUAUCAAAGCAAAACAUCUUCGAACAUUUGCAAUCCUCCAGUCCUCUAACACCACUCCCAUAUCCUAAGAGGAUUUAAAUACUAUGGUAAGUGCCUUCGUUACUUUCGCCAUUCCUUCCCCAACGAACCUCAUACAUUCCAACCAGACCGGGUAAAAGUUAUAUUUUACUGUGAUAUAAAUACUAUUGAUUUAAAGGGAUGAACUGAAACUGUUUGUUCAUGACUGAAUAUAAUUGCAGUCUUCCUGGAUCCAAAUUAAAUCACCGAUGGGUUUCCAGCUACUAU